UGAUGGAGGGGGAUAACUACUGGAAACGGUGGCUAAUACCGCAUAAUGUCGGAAGACCAAAGAGGGGGACCUUCGGGCCUCUUGCCAUGAGAUGUGCCCAGAUGGGAUUAGCUUGUUGGUGAGGUAAUGGCUCACCAAGGCGACGAUCCCUAGCUGGUCUGAGAGGAUGACCAGCCACACUGGAACUGAGACACGGUCCAGACUCCUACGGGAGGCAGCAGUGGGGAAUAUUGCACAAUGGGCGCAAGCCUGAUG
rnacentral:rRNA from 1 species